GAUGAACGCUGGCGGCGUGCCUAAUACAUGCAAGUCGAGCGAACAGAUGAGGGGCUUGCUCCUCUGACGUUAGCGGCGGACGGGCGAGUAACACGUGGAUAACCUACCUAUAAGACUGGGAUAACUUCGGGAAACCGGAGCUAAUACCGGAUAAUAUAUUGAACCGCAUGGUUCAAUAGUGAAAGACGGUUUUGCUGUCACUUAUAGAUGGAUCCGCGCCGCAUUAGCUAGUUGGUAAGGUAACGGCUUACCAAGGCAACGAUGCGUAGACGACCUGAGAGGGUGAUCGGCCACACGGGAACUGAGACACGGUCAAGACUCCUACGGGAGGCAGCAGUAGGGAAUCUUACGCAAUGGGCGAAAGCAUGACGGAGCAACGCCGCGUGAGUGAUGAAGGUCUUCGGAUCGUAAAACUCUGUUAUGAGGGAAGAACAAAUGUGUAAGGAAAUAUGCACGUCUUGACGGUACCUAAUCAGAAAGCCACGGCUAACUACGUG
rnacentral:rRNA from 1 species